GGCUCCCCCGGCGGCCGCAGCGGUGCCAGUGGCGGCGGCGGGCGGCGGAGGAGGCGGCGGCGGCGGAGGAGAGAGGGGGGCCCGGGAGCGGCGACCUUCGCAGGGGGCUGCCGCGGCGGGAGAUGCGCUUGCUCCCAGCGGCGCCAGGAGCAGCAUGUUCCCCGGUGCCGACAGCGCUAGCAGCACGGCCGGGCAGCCCGAGGCAGCGGGGGCCGCCGCCCCCGGCCCGCUGGGCUCGCACGGCCCCGGCGGCGAGGCGCGCCGCCGCAGCGCCCCGGCAGCCGCCGCUGUGGUCGGCGGCGGCGAGGAGGAGGCGGCGGAAGACGAGGAGGACGAGGAACCCGGCUCGUCCCGUUUCGUGCUGGCGGCGGGGCUAGGACUUCUGGCUGUGUCCGUCGUCCACCUGGGGCAGGAGCGGGCCGAGGCGGGGGGCGGCGGGCCGCCGUGCCUGGCGCUGCUGCUGCUCCGCCUCGCCCUCUACGCGGGCUGCGCCGUCGCUGCCGCCGCUCUGGGCACCCUGAUCGUCCUGAUGUGCCGCCGCCGCCGCCGCCUGCCGCCGCCGGACUUCGCCGUCGUCUCUCCUGUCCGGCAGGUCGCGGGGAGUAAUUGGUCUGGAAGCUCUCAUGAUUCAAUCCAAUCAAGGAGAGUGGUUUUUUCUCACAAUAUGGAUAAAGCACUGAAAGAAGUGUUUGACUACAGCUAUAGAGAUUACAUCCUGUCCUGGUAUGGGCAUCUCAGCAGAGAUGAGGGGCAGCUGUACCAGCUGCUCUCUGAAGACUUUUGGGAGAUUGCCAAGCAGCUGCGCCAGAGGCUGAGUCACAUUGAUGUGGUUAAAGUUGUCUGCAAUGAUGUAGUGAAAGCUUUACUCUCACACUUCUGUGACCUUAAAGGAGCCAAUGCCAGGCAGGAAGAUCCACCAAGACCCUUUUUGCUGCACUCAUGCUUGAGGAGCUCUGAUGAAGAAGUAAGAUUCCUGCAAAAAUGUUCUCAGGUUCUGGUGUAUUGUCUCCUACCCUCAAAGGAUGUCCAGUCUGUCAGCUUGCGCAUAGUCCUUGCAGAAAUACUUGCAACAAAAGUACUGAAACCAGUGGUGGAACUGCUGAGUGAUCCAGAUUAUAUUAACCGAAUGCUACUCAGCCAGCUGGAGUACAGAGAACAGAUGAAUGAGCAUCAGAAGAAAGACUACACAUAUGCUCCUUCUUACGAGGAGUUCAUCAAGCUCAUUAACAGCAGCUCGGAUGUUGAGUUCCUGAAACAACUGAGGUAUCAAAUUGUAGUGGAAAUAGUUCAGGCAACCACAAUCAGCAAUAUUCCCCAAGUGAAGAGGCAGAAAGAUUCAAAAGGAAAAGAGACUGCAGCAAUGAAAGCUGACCUACUAAGAGCUCGCAAUGUGAAGAGGUACAUUAAUCAGCUGACGGUGGCAAAGAAGCAGUGUGAGAAGAGAAUAAGGCUCCUGGGAGGGCCUGCUUAUGAUCAGCAGGAAGAUGGCCUUUCUGAUGAAAGCGAUGGGCCUCCGAGUCAGAAGAUUCUUCAGUUUGAAGAAAUUUUGGCCAACCCUUCAUACCGAGAGCACUUCAGGAUAUACAUGGAAAGGAUGGACAAGAUGGCUUUGAUUGGCCUUUGGGAGUCUGUGGAGAAUCUGAAGAAUGCUAACAAGGCUGAAAUACCUCAACUGGUGAGUGAAAUUUAUCAGAAUUUUUUUGUGGAAAGCAGAGAAAUACCUGUGGAAAAAUCCCUUUAUAAGGAAAUACAGCAAAGUCUUGUGGGAAAUAAAGGCAUUGAAGUAUUCUACAGAAUUCAGGCAGAUGUUUACGAAACUCUAAAGGACAGAUACUACCCCUCAUUCAUUGUCAGUGAUUUGUAUGAGAGAUCAGUCAAAAAGGAGGAAGAAAGAAGUUCUGCUCAGCUUACUCCUGAGGACAAAGAUGAAGUGAGCCAAGGCUGUGAAGAAGCUACUGAAGAAUGCAGCACAAGAAUUAAUGAACAGGCCAGUUAUGCUGUAAAUAAACUUCGCCAGCUAAAUGACAAGCUUGAGUAUAAGAAACAGGCUCUAAAUUCCAUUUGUAAUUCACCAAAACCCGACAAAAAGAUUGUUUCUAAGCUGAAGGAUGAAAUUACUCUGAUGGAGAGAGAGCACAGCGACCUUCAGCUGCACAUUGCAAGAACAGACUGGUGGUGUGAGAAUCUUGGCAUGUGGAAAGCCUUUAUUGUUUCAGGCGAGGUUUUAGAAGAGAAUGGAGAACAAGUGCCCUGUUACUCUGUCAUGGUGAGUUUACAAGAUGUUGGUGGAGCUGAAACUAAGAACUGGACUGUUCCCAGGAAGCUCAGUGAGUUUCAGAACCUGCACCGCAAACUCAGUGAGUGUUUUCCAUCAUUAAAGAAAGUUCAGUUGCCUUCUCUCAGCAAGCUGCCCUUCAAAUCCAUAGACCAGAAAUUCAUGGAGAAAUCCAAGAACCAGCUUAAUAACUUUCUGCAGAAAUUACUCUCCGAUGAAAGACUAUGCCAGAGUGAAGCACUUUAUGCCUUCUUGAGCCCUUCCCCAGAGCACCUCAAAGUUAUUGAUGUACAAGGAAAGAAGUCAUCUUUUUCACUCUCCUCAUUUCUAGAACGACUUCCUGGUGAUUUAUUUUCUCAUCAGGAGGAAGAAACGGAAGAGGACAGUGACCUGUCGGACUAUGGAGAGGAGGUGGAUGGGAAGAAGGACUCUCUUGCUGAACCGUGUUUCAUGCUGAUUGGAGAGAUUUUUGAACUGCGAGGAAUGUUCAAGUGGGUCAGAAAAACAUUAAUUGCACUAGUACAAGUCACUUUUGGAAGAACUAUCAACAAGCAAAUUCGUGACACUGUACACUGGAUGUUCAGUGAACCAAUGCUUGUUUACUACAUUGGUGUGUUUCGAGAUGCUUUUUGGCCAAAUGGAAAAUUAGCUCCACCACCAAGAGCCAAGAGCGAUGAGCAAAAGCAGGAGACAAAACAGAGAGCACAGCAAAAACUACUUGAAAACAUUCCAGAUACUCUGCAGAAUCUUGUUGGACAACAAAAUGCCCGUCAUGGUGUAGUGAAAGUGUUCAAUGCGUUGCAAGAGAGGAAAGCUAAUAAGCAUCUACUUUAUGUUUUGCUGGAACUGCUGCUAACUGAACUAUGUCCUGAGCUGAGAGCUCAUUUAGAGCAGCCUAAUACCACUUAGGUUUGAAUCUGCACAAUUGGACCACUAGAGAAAUGUCUAUGUUCAAGAAUAGACAUGAAACUUAUUUUCCUCUUUUCCAUAGAGGGCUGAGGACUAUGAUUAUUUUUAGCAUUUUUCUUUCCUCUUGAGUUUUUUGUGAAGUAAACAGACUUGAAAAGAUCUGAUGCUGUCAUAGGGUAGACAAAAAAAUGCUGUAUAGCUGCCAAUUUUUAUUUAAAUUGUUCUAUUUGACUACUCCUCUGUUUCAAAUAUAGAUUGAAAAAUACAUGUUCAUAUAUGCUGAAAGAAACCAGAAGAUAUUUUAAACAUUUAUGGAAAGAAAUUUUGCUUAUAGUGGUAAACUAAUGAAUGUUGUACAGUUCUAAUCUCCUCACUGAGGAUCUGAGCAUUCCUUUUUUUUCUUGUGUAUUGAAAAAGCCUUGUUGUGCAAUACUACAUGUAAAGCUAUUGUGAAAAUUUUAUCAAUUUUGGUUUUACCAAAGAUUUCCUGUAGUUUGAAGCAUUUGUAAGCAAUAAAUAUCACAACCGGAUUGCAGUACUUGAUAAUGAGGCUGUACUACCAACUGAUCAAUGAGUUUGACAGCACUAGUUUCAUAAGAAAUAUCUACAUUGCUUUGAAGUCUGUGUCAAAAUUAUGUAUUAUAAACUGGUAUGUCUUAACAGAAUGCCUGUGUUAAAUGUUAGUUCAGAGAUUAGUGCUUCUGAAUUGCUUCUAUGAAUGAUCAAGUCAACCUUUAAUUAAACCAUUCUGAUAACUUCCCUGAUAUUAUUCAGGGCUGUUUUAUUCAAAUACCCCAAUUUCAAAUAACCUUCAAAUCUUUCCCAUAUUUUAUACAAGGAAAGAAAACUGUCUUGAGUAGUUGUUUUUUUUUUUUUUUUUUUUUAAAUUUAUGUAAAAAUAUGUAAAUAUGGUGUUAAUGCACAUCUAAAUAAUUAAACAUAAUCAAAAAUCCCUAGGUGACACUCAUUACUGUCUUCUCGAUUCAGUACAGUUGCGCUCUUAGAAAUACUACUUGCAAUUAUGACUGCCUGUAUUGUAAGGUACAUACAGUCUGUAUGCUGUAUUUAAAUUAACAUUUUUAGUAACAUCUAGCCUUCUGUUCCAACAGUUUCAGAAAAGAUUUACGGUCAUGGCACAGUCCUAAGAAGCAAGGCAAAUUCUGCACUUACAAAGUUCCAUAAGUAAACAGGCAUUCAGAAAUGUGCAAGCUUACCAUCGAAAUCAGUAAGUUUUCCUAGUGAUUAAUCAAAGUAUGUUUUCAUCCAAGAUCCAUUGUGCCAUUGCUCAGGCAUACAUUCCCUUAGCCAAAAGGCUUCACACUAUUUCUAAUACAAACAGAGGCAGUGUGACUGCAAUAUGAAGAAUGAAGAAAACAAGUCCCAUGCUGAGGAUGUAUGUUGAAUAUUUCCAUGCUAACUUUUGGAGAUAUUGCCCCCACAGUUCUAUUUCACCAAGGACAUCAAAGUAUUCAGAAACAAAGGGUGACUACAUGCACAGGAACCACAGAGUCUCUCUGAAGCACAGAUGCCAACUUGCUACACUCCCUUCAGCUGAACUUUGAAAAAAUGGGACUUAUUUUUUCCCCCGUGUAUAUUGAACAGAGAAAGCAGUAGAUCCUCAGCAUCACUGAAAAUAUAUGCUACAGGAUGCUGAUGCAAAGAACAACACCCAGCCAAGUCAGACAAAAAUUCUAUUGCAGCACAGACUUCAACAACACACCACAGCAACUGGAUAGGAACCACAAGACCAACCACCUCAAGUGUAUAUGUACAAUACACACAGACCGGGGACCAUACAGGAGGAACUGGAGCUCUGCACCCAAGUCACACAAUCAUAGGAAUCCUGAAGCAUGGUGGAACAACUCAUGUGACCAGAGGAUCAUGAUGGAUGGCUUUAGACUGUUUUGUAAAGACAGAAAAAGAGGAGGAGUCAUGCUCUGAGUUAAGGAGAGCCUUGAAUAUAUAGAAGUUAACUAUGGCAAUUUUGGAAGCCUUAUUGAAUGCCUCUAAGCCAGGAUCAGAGGGAUCAUCUCAAGAGGGAUCUUACUGUUACUGACCUCCGAACAAAAUAAGACCAACGAGACAAUUAAGUAAACUUUGGGUAACAGAAUCUGGAUCUUAUGGGUGACUUGAACUACACAGGCAUUAGAUGCAAGAACAAUACAGCAACUCCCAGGACAUCCAUGAAGUUUCUUAAAGGGAGUAGCAGAGUACUGCUGCCUUAAGCAGAUGUCAAUUGUGCCAGACAGGAAUGAGGCACUGCUUGACUUGCUACUUGCAAACCAAGAUAAUCUGUUUUGUAUAGCUCAGUGAGUGAUAGCCUUGGGUGCAGUGAUCACAAUAUUGAGGAUCUGGGAUCCUGCUGAGCACUCUGAGGGUUAGUAUUAAGACAAAGGUUGUAGAUUUCAGAACAGUAAACUUUAGCUCACAGCACACUUGUAAGGGUCUCCACAGGAAGCUUCCAUGGAGAACAGAAGAGCUAGUGAGUGCUGGGAACUUUUCAAGAAUGCUUUCCUGGAAGCACAGUGGGGUUUGUCCACCCCCUUUAAAGAUAAGGAAAGUAGGUGGAGCAGGAGACCUCCUUGGCUUUACUGCAAGUUUCUGAGCCUGCUCAAAACCAAGAGAGAAGCACACCAAAGAUGGGAAAGCAGGUGAAGGGAAGUGGUGGAUUCAGGUUUUUGUACACUUUUAAGAUUCAGUUGGACAGGGUGCUGGGCCAUCAUGUCUGAUUAUGCUUUUGUCAAGAAAGGUUGGACCAGAUGAUCCCUGAGAUCCCUUCCAGCCUGGGGGUUCUUUGAUACUGUUAAAG